CGAUGCACAUUAAGUAUUUGAUAGAAUAAGAGGACCAUUUUGUUUGCAAUGACACUCUUAUUUGAAAUAUUGCAAGUUUUAAUGGCUAUCUUUUUGCUGACUGGGAAAUAUUUUGUGAGAAUGGUGGAACUCCACCAGUAAUUAGAUGAAGUCCAGUGAAACAAAACUAAAUAUGGAAUGGUGGUGCCUUUAAAUGAGAUGCGUGGGUCUUGCUGGACUGAAAGCAUUGAUUUUGAGAAGGUGGGCGGGUGGGCUGUUAGCCCCGUGUUCCUUCUGACUAGGCCACUGGAUAUCUUUGGGGCUUUUUUUUUUGUGGAGCUCAGCCUGCUUGCUCUCGGGAGCUACCUAACAGAUUGUGUUUAUUUAGCCUUAUGGUCAUUCUCUGCGAGAACAUAUGAAAGAAAUCUAAUAGAAGAUGGCCCAAGUGGGUGUAUGAAAAUUAGACUUCUAAAAGGUAGGUUAGGAGCAGGUUUGGUAAGAUCUCUGUGCCUUGCUUUUUGACAGCUUCGAUGACAAUAAGCUGGGCCAUUAGAGGUCUAGCACUGUAGGGAUCCCUAGAAAAAUUUCCUGAAAGACGAUUAAGAGAAUUGAAGAUUCAAGGCAUGUGAGUUGUCGAAAAGCCGUCUUCUUGACGCUAUGCGGCAUCACCUCGGUACUUGGAUUGACCCCGACUUCAACCACGAGGCGUUAGUCCCCUUGCAGCUUGCGUUAUAAUCCUCGUUAACUUUGUGAGGAAAAAACCUAUUGGUUGAAGUCGAUGAUAGGAUGCAUCAAUUACUAUGAUUGCUAAGUUGUUAAUUAAUCUAAAAGCUUAGAGCAUCAUUGUUAUAUAUGCGGUGUCCUAGCCCGAUAGAUCCAAAAAACCUUGCUCGUAGGCCAUGUAUAUUAGUUUGAUUUAGUUGAGGAUCCGAAAUCUAUUCGCCUUAAAUGAAUGAACGUUGCUUUUCCAUACUGUCAGCCAUCACCCCAUUCCAUAUCAAAGCCAAAUUACUUGAUAAGCCUUUUUAUUUGGUAAAACUUAAUACUUAUUAUUUAAUAACUUAAAUUAGUUUUAAGUUAAAUUAUUUUGAAGUUGUUGAUUUUAAAUUUAUUAUUUAAUUUUUUACUUUUAAGUAAAACAAUUAUUUUGUAAGAUUAACUUAAAAUUUAUUUUAAAUCAUCAAUUUGAGAUAUUUCUCUUAAUUAUUUUUAACUAAUAUUUAUAUUUUCACUAAUCACAAGUAAUAAAUUAAUUUGUUAAAUAUCCACAUUUAAAAUAUUGGAGAUAUGUAAGAUAAUGACAAAAAUAUUUUACCAUAAAAUAUGAAUUGUGAAUGUGAAGUUAUAGUUGUAACAUAUUUUGACUGAGCAUGGACAAACGAGACAAAAGAGAUUUGAGAAUAAGAAUAAAUAAUUAUUUUAACUUAAUACUUAAAGUUAGUUUUUAUUUUAAAUUGUGAUAUUAGGUUGUUGUGAAAAAGUUUGGUUAAUCUUGGUUUUAAUGAUGUUUAGAAUUAAUGAUUAUAUGUUUAGAAUUAAUGAUUAUAUUUCAAGUAUGACUAGGUAAGAUGAGUUCCAAAGUGGCAAUUAUAAAGGCUAAAUCAAGUAAAAGGAAAAUCAAGAAAAAAGAUGAAGCCUCAAAGAGAAGAGCUUUCAAGAUAUUUCAUAGAAUCUCUUUGUAAUGUUAUUGGUAUAGUAGGUUUUUCAUGCAUCUUAUUUUGUUUGUUUUACACAAAAAAUUCAUCUAAGAGUUAUUUUAUUUAAAAUAUUUCCUAAUUGGAUGAUUUUUUAUUCUCAACUAAAAACCUUGUUAAAUACUUUUAAAAACUUGUUUAAAAGGUUUUGAGUUGAAAAAUAUGACUGUUGAGCUAAAAAGGGUCCAAUCGAUCAAGGGUGAACUAAAUUGACUCAACCAAUUAAGGAACCGGUUGACCUAUUGCCAUUUCUAGGUCGAGAACUGGUCAAGGGGUGCAAAAUUUUCUCUUUCUUCCAAAAGGGUUGUCUUCCUGAUUGAGGGAAAACCUUUCUUAGUAAAGGGUACCCAUUUCUAAACUGGUUGACCUACUGCCCUUUCUAGGUAGGUAUUUCACUAUUUGAGUUUUAAAUUAUUUUAAAAAAUUAAUAGACUUAUUAAUGAUCCAAUGUAUUAAGUCUUGUUUAAUUUUGAGUUUAUUUAUCAAGUGAAAAAAUUAGAAAAAUGUAGUUGGAUGUAGAAGAGAAACAAUAAAGUCACUUUAGUUUUGGUAUUAAUUUUAUCAUUAUUUGAGUUUUAAGUUAUUUUUAAAAAUUAGUAGAUUAGUUAAUAAAUGUAAUACAUUAAGUCUUACUUAUUUUAGAGUUUAUUUGAAUAGUAAAAAUUUUUACAAAAAUAUGAUUAUAUGUAAAGAAGAAACUAGUUAAGUCAUUCAAAAUUAAAUUUGGUUCAUGUUUUUCUAAUGUUAUUGACUUAUUUUAUUUAUCAAGUGUAGUUUGUUUGAAAUUUAUUUACUUAAUGAAAUAUUUUAUAACAAUUAAAGAAAAUUAAAAACAAAAUAUGCGUAAUUUGAAGGAAGAUCAUAUUUGAAGAUUUUUAGCAUUAAUAUUGAAUUAUGGAAAGUGGGAAAAAAAAUCAGAUUUAAAUUUUUUUUUUAUGGUUUGUUUAAUUUCUAUAUAUAUAUAUAUAUAUUAAAACAAAUGAAUUUAAAACCCAUUUUCUAUUUCACUUUGUUUUAAAAAUUGGAAAAAGAGAACUAUAGCCAAAUAAUGCUAUGAAUUUUUAAAAAUAAUUUUUUAUUUUUAAAAACAAAAAAACUGUUCUUUAAUCACCGGACUAAAACAAGCUCUACAUCUUUUCAACUCAUUAUCUAAAAUUAUUCUUAACAUAUUAAUCAACCUUGUUGAACUUACAACAGAGCUUUGGGCUUUUGAAAAGCCAAGCAAAUCACAAAGUUCAAAAGGCCCGAGAAGGUUUCAAGUUCAAAAAUAAGUUUAUAACAUAAGCAACCAUGGGUUAUCUUAUAAAAGCAUUUUUUUACACGAUAAGUAUGAAAAAUUAUUUCAUAUUAAGAGUGUGUUUGACAGUGAUUUUAGAAACACUAAAAAAUGUUUCUAACCUUUGUAAUACUUGAAAGAUUUUUUUUUCUUCAUGUUUUAGAAAUGUUAAAAGUGCUUCUUAGAAUCACUUUCAAUCGGACUCUUAACUAUUAAUUCGUUUAAAAAUAAAAAAAUAAAGAAUUAUUGAAACAAACUUGGAAAGAGCUAUAUGUCCAAAUUAAAUAACGGAGGUGAGUCAAGUCUUGCUUGCAACUACUUGUGUUUCCUAAACAGACUCCACUUUGGAUAAAUUUUGUUGAUUUUCUACUUCUCAAUUUCGAAUAUAAGAAGAGGGAGAAUUUGGAUUAUGUGUAGUCUUUUAUUUCUCUUUUCUAUUACUUCCAAUGAUUGAAACUGUUUUUAUUUUUAUUUUUUCAGUUUUUCAGUCUUGCGCACAAAAAUUUUCCAAUCUAUGCAUGAAUUAGAGAAACGAAUUCAUUUCUAGUAUAAUCAUCAAAAGAUACAAGCAAACAAACCAAAUUACAACAUGGGUGGACAUUUAUCCUUUCAUUUUUAUUACAAAAUAUGUAUGUAUCGAUAGAAGUAACCAGAGCCCCUUUAUUCUUUAAAUAUAAGUUCAGUAUCCUCUCUUGACUAGUACUGGCCUCCAUACCUGCACCAAGAGAAAAGAAUAUGAUCAAAUUGUAUUCCGAAGAAAUGGGCCUUCUUACACACAUAAGCAGUUGAAAUUAAGAAUAUUCUGUGAGGCCUACAGUUUCCUCUCUAUGGUUGGCGCUUGUCUCUUUUCUCAAUGAGGUAAAUUAGGUACGUGAUAAAUUGGGGGUCCACCAGGGAAACGGGGUGACGGUGGAGAUUUCUUAUAUGGUGUUGGUGGCGCUAGUGGCGUGGUAUGGUUGUUCUCAGGAGGAGGAGGUGGAGAUUUCUUAUAUGGUGUUGGUGGCGCUAGUGGCGUGGUAUGGUUGUUCUCAGGAGGAGGAGGUGGAGAUUUCUUAUAUGGUGUUGGUGGCGCUGGUGGCGUGGUAUGUUUUUUCUGAGGAGGAAGAGGAAAAUAUCGACGAGAUGGUGGCGAUUUGUAGUGAAGCCGUGAAGGUGGAGAAAAGCGGCGUGGAAAUGGGUGAGGGAAGCGUGGAGAGGAGUAACGCAAGUAUGCUGAGGUGUUGGGCAGCAAACUUAGAAAGACAACCACUAUGAAGAGAGAAGUGGUAAAGGAGGCCAUGGAGAUGGAGUCUUCCUUCCCCGUUUUGCUUCCCAUUUUCACAAGCAAAGUGCUAAUGUGUUGGACUGGUUGUGCUCCUAAGCUUUUCUUCUAAAGCCUUUUUAUACACAAGUUUUUUUUUUUUUUUUUUUUUUUGUGGAAAUUAACAACCAUCCUGCAUUAGUCUUGCGUCUUAGACACUCUUAAAGUCGUUUUUUGAUUUUUCAUUCAAGGAGAAAUCUUGGGUCUGCACCGUCAAAGAAGGCGGUUUACUUAUUGUUUGAUGUUGGCUGGCUGUAGAAUAGAAAAUUUUGAAGAAGAAAGAAAGAAUUUUGAAGUUUCACCGCUCCUUUAAAUUUCACGACAUGAAAUAAUUUUGUUUUAUUGGCAGGAGUUUCUUCUAUUUUCUGUGAAAACAAGAUGAUUUUCUGAAGUACUAGAAAUUAGGAAAUGGUGUAAAACCAAUGUAGACCAGAAAUUUAGUGGGGGAUGCGACACAUCAGAGUCUUUCCACUCGGCAAAGUCUCCAGCAGUUACAAUCAAAUUAUGUGGAAAAGAAGAAAAUUUUGAGAUGACUGGUUCUGCAGGCAUAGAGAAAGCACGAAAUUGAGCACUUCCAUAAGUACCAAUCGUAUUUCCUAGAAUUCCAAACCUUGAAAAGAUAUUCUCCUUUAUGAAUUUCAGUACCACCUUAUGAUCAUUUGUCUCACAUGCAGCAACCUCUACCCCCAUUUAGAAAUGUAGUCUACCCCCACAAAAAUGUAUGGAUUCCCAAAGAUAGGGAAAAGGCCUCAUAAAGUCCAAGUCCCUAACAGUUGAGCACUCCAUUAAAUUGCAACAAAUAUUAUUUCAAAAUAAUAUUGUGAUAUUUGAUUAUAAUAUGUCUAAUUUUAAAAUAUAUUUAAUAUUAAAAUUAUGAUCUUUUUAAUUCAAUUGUAUUAAAUGAUAUAAAAUAAAUUGUGAUAUAUGUAUAAUUUUUUAAUAUUUAAUUAAUCUAUUAAUGAUGUUAAAAACACUAUGAACAAAAUUAUCAUGAUAAUUUUUAUAUUUUUGGUAAUCAAUUAAAUGAAAAAAAUUUCAUUUAAUUAUAAAAUAAUUAUAAUUAAUUUGUUCUCUAAAAUAUUCUUUCAAUAUUUUAUUUACAUGAUGACUUUGAAUAUAAAUAUGUUUGGUGCAAUACAUUUAACAAGGGACAUACUUGCCCUAGUGGUAGGCCAUGGUUCAGGUAAGUCUCUUGUUUGGGGUUCAAGUCUCCUUAAUAAGCUUUCACUAUACCUGUUUACCUGGUUUAGACAACAUUUGUAUAUUUGUGCUCCUUAUAACCUGGUUUGGACAACAUUUGUAGCGAUACAAGUGAUCAUCCUAGAUGGAAUUCUUGGCCCUCGACAAAAAAUACCUCUUCUCAUAUUGAACACUUGAAGUACUAAUAUCCACCGUAGGUCUUGCCUUUGCAUCCUUCUGGUUGAGUAAAUACAUUGGGGUUCAAUGGUCUAUGAAUAAUAGAAUGGCAGUAUGCAAUAGAUAGUUUCUAAACUUGUCAAAUGUGAACACCAUAGCAAGCAACUCUUUCUUGAUAGUUGUGUAAGCUCUUUGAGCUUCAUUAAGGGUCUUGUUAGCAUAGUAGAUGACAUAUGACUUUCCUUCCUCUCCAAGCCUAGCAUUACUCAUAACAUCCAUAUGCUUGUUCCUUAUAUCUCCUUACUUUAUAUAAAAGUACGAAAUGUUUUUACAAUUUUUUUUCUAAAAAUAACCUUAUCAUUUCUAUUUUAUGUGCUUAUAUCCUAAUAUUAUUAUAUAUAAUUAAUUCAAAUAAUGUUUCUAGAUAACCUAUAAAAAUACUUUUAUGACUUAAAAAAAUGUUUAGCAAACUUUUCAUAGAAAACAACUUUUUUUUUGAGAAUUUAUUAUGAAAACAAGUAUUUUAAAGAACAAAUUUAAGGUGCUUUCAAUUAUUUUUUGUAAAGUAUUCCAGACAAUAAUUGAAAAUGUGAAAAUUACUUUUCAAACUUGUGCAUUGUAAAUUAGUGUAUAGUAACUUGAUGGAGAAUAAGGUAAUAAAACUAAUUUUCAUAUUUGAAUUCUCAAAACUUUGUUCUUGGUUUUCAAAAACAUUAUCAACUAUAUCCAAUUGGUACUAAUUGAUUUGGUUUUUGUGUUUCAAAUUACUUUUAAAUAAAUCCAACAUAUUAAGUCUUAUUUGUUUAGAGUCUAAAAAAUUUUGCAUAGAGUAAAUUGUGGAGAGCCAAAGUACUCAUUAGAGAAUGGUUUUGUUUUCUAAAUUUGGUUAUAUUUCUUCAUGUUUCCUUUUUACUCUAUAAGCACAACCAAAAACUUGUUCUCUCAAAGUUCAUAUCUUUUUUUUUUUAAUUUUAAAAUACUGUUUCUAGAUGAAAAAAAAAAAAAACAUAAAGACAAUUUUAGUUCUCGAAAAAUUUGAGGGAAAAUGUGAGAGAAAGAAAAUAAAGAGGAAAAGUGAAAGGAAAGAUUAUUUUUAUAUGUUUCUUCAAAUUUAAGAUUAAAUAUUCUUUAAAUAUAUGAAUUUCUAACUAAUUUUAAUUACAUUUUAUUUUCUUUCAUAUUUUUCAUGGUGAAACCAAAUUUUAAAGCUGAAUCAAAUUGAACCAUACUCAGUUCAACUAAAACAACAUUAAAAAAAACUUCAUCCUUCUUUAUUUUCCUAUAUUUUCUCCAAACAGAAGGCAAAGUCAAACAUAAAUUAAAUUCCCCAACCACCCAUCAACAAAACAACUAGUUCCACAAAAAUCCCAACAACUUCCUAAGAAAUUCCCCAAGCACCUAUCAUAAAAACACCCAAUUGAAGAAAAAACCCUAACAAAUUCCAAAUAAAUUUCUCUACAAAAGGUGAGGAAAAAAAACAUGAAUAAGACUCAUUGUGAGAGGAUGACACAGGAAUAAACCCUAAAAGGUCGGAGUUUGGUAGGAAAUCAAGGCCAUUAGUGGGAAUCCAUGGUGUCUCUACAACCUGAGGAAAUACAGUUGUUGAAAUCAGAGGUGAGAACUAAUAAAUAGUCCAUGUAAACCAUUGAUUUUCCUAUCGUUUUCAUUUUGACUCCCUUUCCAAUGGUUAUGAUUUGAAGAGAAAGAGGUUUCGUACUUCCUUCUCGCCAACACGAUGUUAAUGCUGUAGACAACAAACUUCAUGUAAAGAUGGAAAAAUGGUUAGGCCACUUUCUCCAAGACAUGAGGGUUAGGGUUCCACUAAGUAAGCCUGUUUCGUGGGGUUAGGUCUCCACCAGAGAACAUAUGUUGAUUCAUUUUGGUUUUCAUUUUAAUAAUUUUUUAAUUUUUUAAUUUUGUUUUAUUAUGGUUAUAAGUUGGAAAUUAUGUUUUAUUUUGGUUUAACAUGUAUUAUUAUGUUUUAAAAGGUUAAUUAUGUUUCAAUAAGUUUCUAAGGUGGUGAUUUUAUUUUAUUAAGGUUAUAAGUUAUGAUUCCCAUAGAUCUCUCCCUUUUUGAUAUUUCUCAAGCCUUUUUUUUCUCAUCUUUAUUUGCUUAAAAAAAUUCUUUAAUUAUCUCUCAGGCUACUAGUUUCUGAGGUUUUUUCCAAUUAUUUUGUUUCAUUUCAUUUCAAUUGAUAUGAAAACCCAAUCUAGGAUAGUUUGGGUGUAGAUGAUGAUCACAAAACCAUCACCUUCAUAAACCAGAAAUCUCACUGCCCCUUGUAGUUGUGUUGGCUUUCACUGUUUAAACCAUGGACAUUUUUUUUUCUCCUCUUGUUGUAGCUUGUCAAUUUUCCCCUAAUUUAUUCUUGUUUGAGCUUAGAAAAAUAAAAAAUAAAAAUUGAGAAUUGAACUAUAAAAAUUUAAAAAAAGAACAGAAAAAAAAUGAUAAAAAGAAGAAAGAGGGAAAAAACCUUUCUUGCUUUUAUUCUUGAGCUGUUAUUGCUAGAUAUUGCAGAAACAUACAAUUUCAUAUUGAUGCACAUAGAUGGAUAUUGCAAAAGCAUAUGAUUUCAAAUUAUACCUAUUUCAUGUUUGAAACAAAUUUUUGUAAGUUGGGGUGUUUACUUGGUUGUAAAUAAAUUCAUAUGUUUCUUCUGACAGCUCUGUUUACUAAUAUUUAUAAUAUUACUGAGUAUCUCUGUAUUUUGUUCUCUUUGGUAAAACUGUUUGUGUUUGACCUUUACUUCUAUGUCAAUUUUCUUUCUUAAAGGGGAAGGUGAAUAUCGAAGCUAAGGCUGGGGUGAAAUUGGAAAUACCCAAUGGAGCUGUAGUUGCAAACAAGGUAACGUUGCUGGAAACCAGGUCCUUCAUUUUAACCAGAGGUUAUCGUUUUAUCUGCGCUCACUAUAUUAUUAUGAUUUUCAGGUGAUCAAUGGUCCUCAGGACAUCUAAGGAAACUGUUUGUCUUAAAUUUGUCUUGGAGAGUGUACACAUCUAAAAACACUGUAACGGGUCCUAUUUUGAUCGUGCACAUUAAGUAUUUGAUAGAAUAAGAGGACCAUUUUGUUUGCAAUGACACUCUUAUUUGAAAUAUUGCAAGUUUUAAUGGCUACCUUUCUGCUGACGGGGAAAUGUUUUGUGAGAAUGGUGGAACUCCACCAGUAAUUAGAUGAAGUCCAGUGAAACAAAACUAAAUAUGGAAUGGUGGUGCCUUUAAAUGAGAUGUGUGGGUCUUGCUGGACUGAAAGCAUUGAUUUUGAGAAGGUGCCCGGGUGGGCUGUUAGCCCCGUGUUCCUUCUGACUAGGCCACUGGAUAUCUUUGGGUCUUUUUUUUGUGGAGCUCAGCCUGCUUGUUCUCG
rnacentral:lncRNA from 1 species